rnacentral:rRNA from 1 species
GAUGAACGCUGGCGGCGUGCCUAAUACAUGCAAGUCGAGCGAACAGACGAGGAGCUUGCUCCUCUGACGUUAGCGGCGGACGGGUGAGUAACACGUGGAUAACCUACCUAUAAGACUGGGAUAACUUCGGGAAACCGGAGCUAAUACCGGAUAAUAUAUUGAACCGCAUGGUUCAAUAGUGAAAGACGGUUUUGCUUUCACUUAUAGAUGGAUCCGCGCCGCAUUAGCUAGUUGGUAAGGUAACGGCUUACCAAGGCAACGAUGCGUAGCCGACCUGAGAGGGUGAUCGGCCACACUGGAACUGAGACACGGUCCAGACUCCUACGGGAGGCAGCAGUAGGGAAUCUUCCGCAAUGGGCGAAAGCCUGACGGAGCAACGCCGCGUGAGUGAUGAAGGUAUUCGGAUCGUAAAACUCUGUUAUUAGGGAAGAACAAAUGUGUAAGUAACUAUGCACGUCUUGACGGUACCUAAUCAGAAAGCCACGGCUAACUACGUG